AACGAACGCUGGCGGCAUGCCUAACACAUGCAAGUCGAACGAGACCUUCGGGUCUAGUGGCGCACGGGUGCGUAACGCGUGGGAACCUGCCCUUAGGUUCGGAAUAACUCCCCGAAAGGGGUGCUAAUACCGGAUAAUGUCUUCGGACCAAAGAUUUAUCGCCUUUGGAUGGGCCCGCGUUGGAUUAGCUAGUUGGUAGGGUAAAAGCCUACCAAGGCGACGAUCCAUAGCUGGUCUGUGAGGAUGAUCAGCCACACUGGGACUGAGACACGGCCCAGACUCCUACGGGAGGCAGCAGUGGGGAAUAUUGGACAAUGGGCGAGAGCCUGAUCCAGCAAUGCCGCGUGAGUGAUGAAGGCCUUAGGGUUGUAAAGCGCUUUUACCCGGGAUGAUAAUGACAGUACCGGGAGAAUAAGCUCCGGCUAACUCCGUG
rnacentral:rRNA from 1 species